rnacentral:tRNA from 1 species
GGGUCGGUGCCCGAGCGGCCAAAGGGAGCAGACUGUAAAUCUGCCGGCACUGCCUUCGAAGGUUCGAAUCCUUCCCGGCCCACCA